rnacentral:rRNA from 1 species
CUGCAUGGCUGUCGUCAGCUCGUGUUGUGAAAUGUUGGGUUAAGUCCCGCAACGAGCGCAACCCUUAUCCUUUGUUGCCAGCGGUCCGGCCGGGAACUCAAAGGAGACUGCCAGUGAUAAACUGGAGGAAGGUGGGGAUGACGUCAAGUCAUCAUGGCCCUUACGACCAGGGCUACACACGUGCUACAAUGGCGCAUACAAAGAGAAGCGACCUCGCGAGAGCAAGCGGACCUCAUAAAGUGCGUCGUAGUCCGGAUUGGAGUCUGCAACUCGACUCCAUGAAGUCGGAAUCGCUAGUAAUCGUGGAUCAGAAUGCCACGGUGAAUACGUUCCCGGGCCUUGUACACACCGCCCGUCACACCAUGGGAGUGGGUUGCAAAAGAAGUAGGUAGCUUAACCUCCGGGAGGGCGCUUACCACUUUGUGAUUCGUGACUGGGGUGAAGUCGUAACAAGGUAACCGUAGGGGAACCUGCGGUUGGAUCACCUC